CCUACGGGUGGCAGCAGUGAGGAAUAUUGGUCAAUGGACGCAAGUCUGAACCAGCCAUGCCGCGUGCAGGAUGACGGCUCUAUGAGUUGUAAACUGCUUUUGUACGAGGGUAAACUCCGACACGUGUAUCUGCUUGCAAGUAUCGCAUGAAUAAGGACCGGCUAAUUCCGUGCCAGCAGCCGCGGUAAUACGGAGGGUCCGGGCGUUAUUCGGAAUUACUGGGGGUAAAGGGUGCGCAGGCGGUUGAGUAAGAGAGUUGUGAAAUCCCCGAGCUUAACCCGGGAAUGGCAGAUGUGACUGGGCGACUUGAGUGUGUCAGAGGGAGGUGGAAUUCGACGUGUAGCAGUGAAAUGCGUAGAUAUGUGGAAGAACACCGAUGGCGAAGGCAGCCGCCUGGGACAUUACUGACGCUGAGGCACGAAGGCGUGGGGAGCGAACAGGAUUAGAUACCCGAGUAGUC
rnacentral:rRNA from 1 species